CAGUAGCCACGGUAAUACAGAGGGUGCGAGCGUUAAUCGGAUUUACUGGGCGUAAAGCGUGCGUAGGCGGCUUCUUAAGUCGGAUGUGAAAUCCCUGAGCUUAACUUAGGAAUUGCAUUCGAUACUGGGAAGCUAGAGUAUGGGAGAGGAUGGUAGAAUUCCAGGUGUAGCGGUGAAAUGCGUAGAGAUCUGGAGGAAUACCGAUGGCGAAGGCAGCCAUCUGGCCUAAUACUGACGCUGAGGUACGAAAGCAUGGGGAGCAAACAGGAUUAGAUACCCCAGUAGUCCUGUCUCUUAUACA
rnacentral:rRNA from 1 species